AGCCAAAAAUCCACGAGAACGUUUCAGGCCAGUGGGGAAAAUCAGCUGAAUACAGGCCGGAAUACGGGCCUGUAUGCAGAUGUAAUCGCCCACGUCCUGCUUACAUCCUGGAACCACAGGCCCGUUACAGCAUGUACAUCCUGUCCUGAAUACAGCCCGUAAAUAACGGACCUGUUUCAGCCUGUACCACCCACGUCCUGCUUACAGCCUGUGCAGCUAGUGUAUGCGCAUGCGCAGAGAGAAAGUUGCUUAGCUACCAAAUCCACCAAGAGACUGAAAAGGUGCUUCAGUUUGAUCUUCUCCUUCAGUUGCAGCUUUAAAGGAUGGAUGGAGUAAUUAUAUUAUUUAUGGAGCUGACUGCCAAGGCCAGCUAGCAAGAAAAAGAGAGAGAGAGGAACUGCUAGAUGUCUCUGUAAUUCUUCUCUCACUGUCUCUAGGAGUCCAGCUCUAUAGGCUACAAGAUCUGGUUGACUCUGACGCAGGUUGUUGACUUCUAAUACAAUGUUAUAAGAAUACACAUCUAAAAAGAAGAAUAUGCACCUCUACAACGGCUACUAAAUAGGUGAGUACGAGGUAUAUAAAAUGCGUAUACCUAUGAUAUUAUCUACAGUUGUCUGUGUCAUCAUUACUUUACGAGCUCAAGAUUCAGGUUCUAUUAUUGACUCCCUUACUCGAACUCGUUUACGUACGUAUGCACACACAUAUGUACCUGUGUCUAUGUCAUCAUUACUGUACUGAUUGAGCUCGAGAUUGAGGUUCCUAUUCACACUACUUGAGAAUAUGUACAUAUAUAAAUUGGAAUGCUCAUGCCAUCAAUGAUUUCAACCCAUCAUGACCAGAAGCAUCGUGGACACACCUAUAUCGUGGACACACCUAUAUCGUGGACACACCUAUAUCGUGGACACACCUAUACUUUAGAAUUUGGCAGUUAAGUUACUGGCUCUGGACAUGGCUGGUCUGUGACAGUACAAACAGUCGAACAAAAAAGGUAUAAAUGUGACAGAGGACAUGGCUGGUCUGUGGACAGUACGAACAGUCGAACAACACAUUAUAAUGUGACACACUCGAGCAGCACAAGCACUAGAAGAAACAUUCUUAUUAGUGUUGUAAACUGUCGAACUGUCUGGCUAUGUUUGUUUCUUAAAAAUGUUAACACUUUGUGGAAUUAUUCAUGCCAAACUCA